rnacentral:rRNA from 1 species
GCUACGGGCGGCAGCAGUGAGGAAUAUUGGUCAAUGGGCGCGAGCCUGAACCAGCCAAGUAGCGUGAAGGAUGACUGCCCUACGGGUUGUAAACUUCUUUUAUAAAGGAAUAAAGUGAGGCACGUGUGCCUUUUUGUCUGUACUUUAUGAAUAAGGAUCGGCUAACUACGUGCCAGAAGCCGCGGUAAUACGGGGGAUCCGAGCGUUAUCCGGAUUUAAUGGGGUUAAAGGGAGCGUAGAUGGGUUGUUAAGUAAGUUGUGAAAGUUUGCGGCUCAACCGUAAAAUUGCAAUUGAUACUGGCAGCCUUGAGUACAGUUGAGGUAGGCGGAAUUCGUGGUGUAGCGGUGAAAUGCUUAGAUAUCACGAAGAACUCCGAUUGCGAAGGCAGCCUACUAAACUGCCACUGACAUUGAUGCUCGAAAGUGUGGGUAUCAAACAGGAUUAGAUACCCCUGUAGUC